rnacentral:lncRNA from 1 species
GAUGCUAAUGGCAGAACCUAGGUGGUGGGUGUUCACUGGAAAGUUAUCUCACCUUGCUUUGUAUGUUUGAAAUUUUUCAUAAUAAAAAUACUUAAUCUCUGGAAGAAUAAAAGAUGAAGUAAACGAGAGAAAAUAUCUCAAGACCAGAGAUCCUGUGGCUGCAGGUUCCUACAAUGAAUUUGGAUAUAACCAAAGAAGCUCAAAGAACCAUGCCCUAUAAAUGAAAAUCAAGAUGGGACAUUCAUUGAUGCUAUAGUUCCAAAAUUGGCUCUGACAGCCUUGGUACACAUCUUUUACAAAUUCAUAAGAGAUAAAUUUCUACCCAGACACUGACAUUCAGGAAAUCUGUGACCAUUCCUGGGUAACGGGGCGUUUGGAUUGAAGAGCAUCUUUGUAUACUCUGCUUCGGAAGCCUGUAAUUGAUGCCUUAA